rnacentral:piRNA from 1 species
UCAGUUUGUAACUGGUAGGUGCACGAC